GGAUUGUGGGGAUCGCUGACUUUGUGCUGAAGUACAUCACCAUCGCCCUCAAGUGCCUCAUCGUGGCCCUGCCCAAGAUCAUCCUGGCCGUCAAGUCCAAGACAGGGUCCGGCGUCUGUCCUGCUGCCAUGUGCACUAGGGUGAGCUAGAGCACGGUGAGGUUGGCUCUGCCUGACGGGCUGCUCCGAGGGACCUUAGGUUGCCUGCUGUCUGCCUGAGGAUCAGGGAGGAGAAAGCCACUGCCAGCAGCCGUCCCGCCUACUGUUAAGUGGGGCUACUUAGCAAUGCCACUAAAGCUAAGUGUCUCCUUGUGUCCCCAGGCUAGACCCUAAAGUAACAGCCAGCAGUGUGUAUCUUAGAACUUGUCAUGUAUUGAAGUCCUUACACAUACUCCAUC
rnacentral:lncRNA from 1 species